GCAAGCAGCGCUCAGUUUGCGCAGUUUUAUACUCUGAAACUUUGAAAUAAAAGGAGAAUACAGACACGGACGACCAUUUGGUGACUGUUACCCCUGCUACAUUUAGUGCCUCUUCUAUUUCCUGGGUCUCUGUGUAAUCUUUCUCUUUCUCUCUCGCUCUCUCUCUCACUCUCUCAGUGUUCGAGUUUGCUGUUGGAUAUAAACUCGUGAAAGCAGCCAGGUUUCCAGACUGCUUCUACAUGAUCUGUGCAAUCAGAGUCAUCAGAGUGAUCCAUAACCUGCCCUUCAAUUAAAAACAACAACAACAACACCACUCCAUGUGUAACAGGAAUCGUUUAAAGAGCCUUGAAUUAUUGUCACAUUUAACUUAUCACAUUUAUUAUGAAUAUGAAUUGAACCUUGAAUGAUCCUAAUCUUAACACAUGGAUCUUGUAUAAAUAUUAAUUAGAAUAUAACUCUUAUAACUCUCCAUGGGAAUGGAUUAACUCUCGCUGAGCCCAGUCUCCGACAGCAAAGGAUGUAAAAAAAUUAAAACUUUCCCUAGAGCCUGUCA